GCGUUGUUCGGAUUUAUUGGGCGUAAAGGGUGCGUAGGCGGCGGGGUAAGUGAGGUGUGAAAUCCCGGAGCUCAACUCUGGAACUGCACUUUAUACUGCUCUGCUAGAGUCUUGGAGAGGAGACUGGAAUUUACGGUGUAGCAGUGAAAUGCGUAGAUAUCGUAAGGAAGACCAGUGGCGAAGGCGAGUCUCUGGACAAUGACUGACGCUGAGGCACGAAGGCCAG
rnacentral:rRNA from 1 species